GCAAAUUGGGAAUUUCUCAAAGGUACUGGUAAUAUCGAUUUAAGGGCUUUAUUAAUUGUUAUCUUUCGUUUGCUAAAAUUGGAAAUUUUUCGUGUUAUGUUACGGUUGACUCCGUCUUCUUUUAAUUGGAUGUAGGUAAUGGGUUGUUUUUGGUAAAUUUGUUCGUUUGAUUGCUGAGAAAUCGACCAAGUAUUUAUGAAAUCGAAAUUGUCGUCUUAAGCUUCUUCUUCUUCUUUUGUUUUUUUCUUUUUUUU
rnacentral:misc_RNA from 1 species